CCUACGGGUGGCAGCAGUGAGGAAUAUUGGUCAAUGGACGGAAGUCUGAACCAGCCAUGCCGCGUGCAGGAAGACGGCUCUAUGAGUUGUAAACCGCUUUUGUACAAGGGUAAACUUGAAUACGCGUAUUCAGUCGAAAGUACCUUAUGAAUAAGGAUCGGCUAACUCCGUGCCAGCAGCCGCGGUAAUACGGAGGAUCCAAGCGUUAUCCGGAUUUAUUGGGUUUAAAGGGUGCGUAGGCGGAUUGAUAAGUUAGAGGUGAAAUGUUGGGGCUUAACUCGGGAACUGCCUCUAAUACUGUUGAUCUAGAGAGUGGAUGCGGUAGGCGGAAUGUGUGGUGUAGCGGUGAAAUGCUUAGAGAUCAUACAGAACACCGAUUGCGAAGGCAGCUUGCCAAUCUAUGUCUGACGUUGAGGCACGAAAGCGUGGGGAGCGAACAGGAUUAGAUACCCCAGUAGUC
rnacentral:rRNA from 1 species